ACGGCGAGUGAAGCGGCAACAGCUCAAAUUUGAAAUCUGGCUCUUUCAGAGUCCGAGUUGUAAUUUGCAGAGGGCGCUUUGGCGUUGGCAGCGGUCCAAGUUCUUUGGAACAGGACGUCACAGAGGGUGAGAAUCCCGUACGUGGUCGCUAGCCUUCGCCGUGUAAAGCCCCUUCGACGAGUCGAGUUGUUUGGGAAUGCAGCUCUAAAUGGGAGGUAAAUUUCUUCUAAAGCUAAAUACUGGCCAGAGACCGAUAGCGCACAAGUAGAGUGAUCGAAAGAUGAAAAGCACUUUGGAAAGAGAGUCAAAUAGCACGUGAAAUUGUUGAAAGGGAAGCGCUUGCAGCCAGACUUGCCUGUAGUUGCUUAUCCGGACUUUUGUCCGGUGCACUCUUCUGCGGGCAGGCCAGCAUCAGUUUGGGCGGUUGGAUAAAGGUCUCUGUCAUGUACCUCCUUUCGGGGAGGCCUUAUAGGGGAGACGACAUGCAACCAGCCUGGACUGAGGUCCGCGCAUCUGCUAGGAUGCUGGCGUAAUGGCUGUAAGCGGCCCGUCUUGAAACACGGACCAAGGAGUCUAACAUCUAUGCGAGUGUUUGGGUGUCAAGCCCAGACGCGUAAUGAAAGUGAACGGAGGUGGGAACCUUUUAGGUGCACCAUCGACCGAUCCUGAUGUCUUCGGAAGGAUUUGAGUAAGAGCAUGGCUGUUGGGACCCGAAAGAUGGUGAACUAUGCUUGAAUAGGGUGAAGCCAGAGGAAACUCUGGUGGAGGCUCGCAGCGGUUCUGACGUGCAAAUCGAUCGUCAAAUUUGGGCAUAGGGGCGAAAGACUAAUCG
rnacentral:rRNA from 1 species